rnacentral:lncRNA from 1 species
UUUUAAGAUGGAAUAUAUCUUUUUAUGUGAUGUGGAGCUUGUAAAUAAUGACCGCAUAAUUAGCCUAAGUAAUGGGGCAACCUGCCGCCACAGAGCCAAAGUGCCCUAUUGAAGUUGCAAGUUUCUAGUAUUGAUUCCAUGAUCAAAUGUGUUUCAAUUUGGUAUUUUUGCAUAUAUAUAUAUAUACACACACAUACACACAUAUAUAUACACACAUACACAUAUAUAGACAUAUACACACGUACGUACACAUAUGUAGACAUAUACACACGUACGUACACAUACAUAGGCG